AGCGGCGGACGGGUGAGUAACGCGUGGGUAACCUGCCUUAUACAGGGGGAUAACAGUUAGAAAUGACUGCUAAUACCGCAUAAGCGCACAGUACCGCAUGGUAGUGUGUGAAAAACUCCGGUGGUAUAAGAUGGACCCGCGUCUGAUUAGCCAGUUGGCGGGGUAACGGCCCACCAAAGCGACGAUCAGUAGCCGACCUGAGAGGGUGACCGGCCACAUUGGGACUGAGACACGGCCCAAACUCCUACGGAAGGCAGCAG
rnacentral:rRNA from 1 species